UACGUAGGGGGCAAGCGUUGUCCGGAAUCAUUGGGCGUAAAGAGCGUGUCGGCGGCUCGAUAAGUCAGCUGUGAAAUCUCCGAGCUUAACUCGGAACGGUCAGCUGAUACUGAUCUGCUAGAGUGCGGAAGGGGCAAUCGGAAUUCUUGGUGUAGCGGUGAAAUGCGUAGAUAUCAAGAGGAACACCUGAGGUGAAGACGGGUUGCUGGGCCGACACUGACGCUGAGUGCGCGAAAGCCAGGGGAGCAAACGGG
rnacentral:rRNA from 1 species